rnacentral:lncRNA from 1 species
UACAUGAUUGGAGUGCUAUACGAGUAAUCAUGUUGCAAGAAAAGUGAUUGGAGUGCUAUAUGUAUAAUUCCAGUUUCGCAGCUCUUAUUCUCGUUUCUGUCUAAUGCUUGGACAUCUUGGUUGUGGUUGAUUUUGAUGACUGUUAUUUUCUGUCAUGAAAUGAAUGAAAGUGUUUUUGGCCAACAACAACAACCAAAAAAAAAAAGAACACUAAAAGAACCACAUGCUAAGGAUGAAGGGAUAGUAGCCCCCAACUUCGAGCCAGAAGAGGCAGACACUGAACCAAAGAGAAGAAACAGUAAAUAGUAACUUUGGCUUGGAUCUUUAUGUCAACUUGCUUGUCAUAGCCUAGUAAAAGUAAAAUACUCAAAUCUAGAGCUAACAAGAAAUGUAAAACAUACACAGAUAAUCGCUUCCUAAUUCAAGAGUUCUUAGUUCAGUAUAGGAGAAGAAACAACGUAAGAUAAUAAAGCAAAUAACUCUUGAACCAUUAAGAUUCAUUGUUGAGUAAUCUUUAAAAAUAAUAAUAAUAAGGGUCACUCCUACUUCAAUAGGAGAGUAGAAUUUGCUGAUACUCAUACAACUACUCUUACAAUUGAGAUUAGCAUCUAGAUAAAAUUCCUCAUCAAUAAACCAAAACCUGAACAUUGUGAUUACAAUUGAUAAAUGAACAUUUAACUACCUCAACUUAGAAAUCACAACAUAUGGUAUAAGAUACCUAAAGGAAUAAAGCUACAAAAAUAACAAUUACAAUAUAAAAAAGACAACAAGAACAAAAUGUUAGGGUGAACCUAAUAGAACUUAGAGAGGUAAUCAUGUUAGCUCCGCUUGCUCAGAUUCCAUUCACAUGCAUAGAAAUGGUUGAGCUAGAUAAACACAAUGCCUACACAGGAUCCAAGAAGUCCAUUUACCUUGAUAUCAGUACCAGUGUAUUGAUAUAGUCCGUUUGCUUAAAGCUUCAUGCAUUUGGUUCUGGUACUAAUUUGUUCAACACUGUACCACGUUGAAGGCAGAAAUAGAUAACUUAAACAAAUUAGAAAUAGAUAAAUUAAACAACUUAGAAUAGAUAACAGUAGUCUCUCUAUCAUAUCCAUCACUUAGAAAUACAUUUGCCUUAUCUAUUUAUUUUUAAACUACUUUAAAAAAACAUUCAGUCAUCCUCAAAACUCAAAAAGUACCUCAGCCAAAAUGGUUAAAUUAGCAUUCAGCACAAGCAAUUUAGUAAAAAAAUUCCAAGUAUUUCGAUGAAAAAAUACUCAUUAAAAAAAAGAAUUUUGGAUGAAUUACAAAAGCAGAUCAAAGCCUUGUGCCCUGUUAAGUCACAGUGAAUAUCUUAACCAUCAAAUUAACAUAUUAAAUUCUAUCAAAAUGAAUGAUUAAAAUUGGGAUUAACAUAUUAACCAUCAAAUUAACAUAUAUGAAAUACCAAACAGGCAUUAAAACAAACACAUGGAAAACAUAAGAAUAUAACUAGUUCUUCUUUUUUGUAUGCGGCGUAGUCAUUCUACUGCUAAAAUUUCCACUUAGCUGGGAAGAAAAUUGAUCUGCAAAUCCUUCAUAAUCAUUCAUUACAUUCAUAUCAUCAUAUAAUUUUGAAUGACAAGUCUCAAUUGCUUCUCUCUGAUCUUUCUAUCAACAAUUAUUCAACCAGUAUUGCCAUCAAUAUUUAGAAAUCAGAGUGACUCUAGAACCUAAUUUUCUUUAAUCCCCUAAUUACAGAUAGACAAGCUGAUAAAAUUUAGACCGUAAAUGAACAUAUAAGAUCUUACCUUAUCCUUCAAAACAACGGAGCUACUUCCUCCUAUCAGAAUGAUUGCUUUUCAUCAACAGGAUUCGAAUCUGAAACUGACUCCAUAAAGGUAGGUUCCUCAAUAGACCCUUCACUCUCAUAUUCAUCCGGCACUUUACCGUUUUCAUUUGCCACAGUUGAGUCAGAUUCAUCUUCUUUCUUCCCAAAUAACUUAGAUGGAAGAAUAGAUGAGACAGCCGCUUUUGCACUUCUCUUGGCUGCUUCAUGGAGGAAGAGAGAUUUUUGGAUUUUGCUAAAAGUCCAGCGGGACUGUGACUGUGAUUGUUAUAUGUGUAUGAAUCGAGAUCGGUUUUUUUUAAAGUUCUGCAGAGAAAGAAAAAAUAGCUUUCCAAAUUAGGGCGUUUGAAUUGGGGUUGAGGAAGAAAAGAUAGCAAUGGGCUCGGAGUUAAAAAUUUUAAAGGACGUAUGUUUGUAAAGUUGGGGGGUUUCAAGGGGGGAAAUUAGGGAUUUUAGGAGGGAAAGUUGGGGAUUUUGGGGGGAGGGGAUUUUAUAAAAAUGGCACUAUUUUUCUAUAAAUUAUUUUUUUUGACGUUUUUUAUAAAAACGCCGCUAAAUGUUUUUCUAUAUAAAAUGGUUAUUUUUUAAAAGUAAAAUUAUUUUUUGUGGCGCUUUUUUAUAAAAACGCCACUAAAUGUUUUGCUAUAUAAAAUGACUAUUUUUUAAAGUAAAAUUAUUUUUUGUGACGUUUUUUAUAAAAACGCGCUAAAUGUUUUGCUAUAUAAAAUGACUAUUUUUUAAAGUAAAAUUAUUUUUUGUGGCGUUUUUAAUAAAAACGCCGCUAUUGCUUACCUUUUGCGGCGUUUUUAUAAAAACGCCGCUAAAUAUUUUGCUGUAUAAAAUGACUAUUUUUUAAAGUAAAAUUAUUUUUGUGGCGUUUUUUAUAAAAACGCCGCUAUUACUUACCUUUUGCGGCAAAAUGUUUUGCUAUAUAAAAUGACUAUUUUUUAAAGUAAAAUUAUUUUUUGUGGCGUUUUUUUAUAAAAACGCCGCUAUUGCUUACUUUUUGCGGCGUUUUUUAUAAAAACGCCACUAAAUGUUUUGCUAUAUAAAAUGACUAUUUUUUAAAGUAAAAUUAUUUUUUGUGGCGUUUUUCUUUAAAACGCCGCAAAAAAUUAUUUCAUUUGGAAUAAAACGACACUGUUUUGCUAUGCUAAAAAUCUUUUAUUUUGUAUGUUAAAAAUUAUUAGUUAAGUGAUUUUAUAAAACAUUUAUUAUUAUUUUUUAUAAGUUGAAUUUUUAUAAAAAAAAUCAAGUACUCUCAAAAUAAAUAUCGUAUAUUUUAAUAAGAAAAAAAUGAUUAAAUAGUUGUAAUUAAUUAUUAAGUUACAAUUAUCCAAUGUAAGCAAUUAAUUUCUCACAUAUCAAAUUUCUAUUAAAGAUUGAGACAUUAUCAGAUCUAAUCUCCAUUUUAUUAGAGAUAUUUCUUCCUAACUAAAAUAUAAUUAUUUUGCUAGAUGUUUGAUGUAGAAUGAUUUUAGUUUUUGUAUUUUAUUUUUAUUUGUUAUAAUUUGGUCCUAUAUAUCCAAAAUAGAUAGUUACCUAUCCGUAUCAAUUUGUUACAUUUUUUUAUUUAUUAAUUUUUUAAAAUCUAAUAUUUAAAUAUAUCAAAUGGUUUAAAUUAAAUAUUUUUUAGUCAUAAACACCGCUAAUGUUACCUUUUCCGGUGUUUACAGAAGAAACGCCACUAAUAAAUUAAAUUCUUGUAAUGAAACAACACCGUUUUGAAAAAUUCUAAAUCAUAUUAGCGGCGUUUUGGCUAUAAACGCCGCCAAAGCUCGCAUAUUUUACAAUUUUUUAUAUUCAAUUAUUGUAUAUUGCAUAUCAAUUUUAAACUAAUAAUUUUUACAAUUUAUUAUUUCUCUUUUACAUUUAUAUAAGAACUUAUUUAAUAUAUAAAUUAAAAAAUACUAAUUAAUCUAAACCUUAAACCCUAACUCGACCCCGAAUCUUUAAACCCUAAAUCACUAACUCUUAACCCCAAACCCCAAACCCCAAACAACUAACCUCUAAACAUUAUUUAAUAUAAAAAAUAAAAAACACUAAUUAAUCUAAAUCAUAAACCAUAACCCGACCUUGAAUCCCUAACCCCUAACCCUUAAACAUUACUUAAUAUAUAAAUUAAAAUGCACUAAUUAAUCUAAACCCUAAACCCUAACCUGACACCGAAUCUAUAAACCCUAAAUCCUUAACUCUUAACCUCUAACCCUUAACCCCUAACCCUUAACCCAUAAACCUUAAAUCACAACCCUUAAGUUAGAGUCCCUAAUCCACAAUCCCUAAUUCCAUAAUCUAUAAACCUUAAAAUUGCAACUCUUGAACCAGCCCUAAAUCCUAAAUUAACCAUAUAUCUACCCUAAACCAUAUAUAUUAAACCCUAAACUAUAAUAAUAAUUAAAUUAAAUAUUUUAAAAUUAAUACUAGCGUAUCUUUUACAAUUAUAUUUGAAAUUAUUUAAUAUAUAAAUUAAAAAUCAAUCAAUCAUGUACACAAAAAAAUUUAAAAUUAUUUUAAAUAAUAGUAUUUUAAUUUCUUCAUUUUUAACAAAUAUUUUUCUAUGUUUUUUUAUUUCAAAUUAUUUUUACAUGUCAUUAUUUCAAAUUUAUCCAUUUUUAACAAAUAUUCAAUUAAAAAUAAAUUAAAUAGUAAAUAGCAGAUAAAAUGUUUUUGCGGCGCUUUUUCAAAAAUGCCGCUAAAGCCCCGAGCAUUAGCGGCGCUUUUUUAAAAACGCCGCUAAAGAUCUGAGUAUUAGCGGCGCUUUUUUAAAAACUCCGCUAAAGAUCUGAGUAUUAGCGCGCUUUUUCAAAAACGCCGCUAAAGAUAUGAGCAUUAGCGGCGUUUUUUUAAAAAACGCUGCUAAAGAUCUGAAAGGUAGAAAACGAUGUCGUUGGGCUUAGGUUUUUUGCGGCGUUUUUUCAAAAAACGCCACUAAAAAUCGAGCAUUAGCGGCGCUUUCCUGGAAGCGCCGCUAGUUGUCGAUCUUUAGUGGCGUUUUACGUAAUGCGCCGCUAAUGCUCGAUUUUUAAUGACGUUUUUUGUUCAAACGCCGCUAAAAAUGCCGCUAAAAGCCUGUUUUGGUGUAGUGAAUCCAAGAAAUUGAUUAACAUGGUAAAAUGAUAUAACUUUAUCAUUACCAUCAUUAAAAAAUAAAAAAAAAUCACGAGAAUUAAGGGCUAAAAUUACUCUUGAUGAACAUUUAUAGGCACAAGUUUUUAAUUAAUAUUUAUGUAAUUAAAAAUAGUCCCUUUAAGAUGAUUAUUAAUUAUUAUUAUUACUACUGACAAAAUUUUACAUUCUUUUCUGUAAUUUUACAAAGUUUUUAAUUAAUAUUUAUGUAAUUAAAAAUAGUCCCUUUAAGAUGAUUAUUAAUUAUUAUUAUUGCUACUGACAAAAUUUUACAUUCUUUUCUGUAAUUUUACAAAUUUUUUAAUUAAUAUUUAUGUAAUUAAAAAUGGUCCCUUUAAGAUGAUUAUUAAUUAUUAUUAUUGCUACUAACAAAAUUUUACAUUCUUUUACAUUCUUUUCUGUAAUUUUACAAAGUUUUUAAUUAAUAUUUAUGUAAUUAAUAUUUAUGUAAUUAAAAAUAGUCCCUUUUUCUGUAAAGACGUUUUACAUUCUUUUCUUCUCCCACGCCUCCUCUGCCAUUCUCUUAUUCUCUUCGAUAUUUUCUCCCCCCAUCUGUUGCUUUCUUCUUCUUUUUCCCCCCCUUCUUUUACCUAAUUGCUUCCCAAAUAUCUCUUCAGAUUGCUUGCCCAAACCCUGGUUUGCUCUUUCCUCUUUUAACUUUCCAAGAUUUUUCAUGUGUAUGUUAGUGGAAUUUAUUAAUAUAUAGAAAUAGAGAAGUGAAAACUGAAAAGAAAAGUUGGAUUUAUCUAUUUAUGGCUUGCUGCUCUGCUUUAAUAUCUGUUGCUUGGCUGCUUAGCACUUAAUUGGACAAUGAAUAAUCUUUCAUGAUCCCAUGUAUUAUAUAUAUUAGUGAUAAACAUGAGAAUGCUUGUUAGUACUGCUAAACAAAGGGGAGAUUGGCAUGAAUGUUAAAUGUUUGGUAAUGAAAAGAAAAAAGAUGUAGGAUAUGUCUACUUAAGAUAUUUGUUUAUUAUCUGUAUUUAAACUCAAGAUAGAUUCUUGUUCUUUAGUUUUUGUGUUUUGGUUUAACAGAAGAAUUGGUAAUGGUCAAGUUCUAAAAGGAAAAUAUCUUUUUGUUUGUUUGCCUGUUUCUUAUGGGAUUAUUUAAGUCUUAAUGGCUGUUCAUUUUCUGCUCUAACAUAUAAAUUAAUUGAUGAUGAAUUGAAUUUCUUAGUUUAAUUCUAUGUGUUAUUCUGUUGUAAAUUUGCAGGUUAUUUGUGAGAAAUACUAGUGGGAAGUCAAAAUGCAGGCUUGUAAUGGAGCUUGCAAUUAGUACUCAAUUUGUUUUCCAAAUGUUUCUGAAAAUUUUCCUUCUCCUUUAAUUUAUUCCCUUCUAAACUCUACCAGGAUGAGCUGUUUUUUGCUGAAAUAGAGUAUACGCAGAAAAAGGUAAGUAUUUUCUUCCGUUCUUGUUGCUCUUCACAUCGCUAUUUAAUUGAUAUUUUGUUGUAACUGAUAUUUUGUAUUUUCACAAUUCCUAGCUGCUGCUAGUUUUCGCUCUCAUGCCUAAUAUUUCUUAUGCUUCUCAACACUCAAUAUCUAUUUCUCACUUAUACUUCUUUUUUCUUUGCUCACUUAUACACACUACACAUCUAAACAUGUAUGUAUAUAGGCUAUAUAAAUCGACUUAGAGGCUUAACCUUACUGCCAUACUUUUAGCAAGCUACCACCUUGCUUAGGUUCUUGCCACAUUGUUUCUAUCCAUGCAUUGUCAAUUUAAAACCAUUUAUAACUUUCCACCUAGCAAGCCAACUUAUCAACUUUUCUUUAUGAUAAGCCGACCUUGAAGUGGAUUUGACUUUUUAAACUUCCCCUCAAAUCCAGCUUUUUCAUUAUAUGUUUUUCUUUUAAGUUUGUGGAAUAUGUUUGUCUUCAGUGAAUUUGUAAAAAUUUCGGUUAAUUAAUAUUUUGUCUUGCAAUUGACUAGUUGAACGUUUUCAUUCUUCAGUGAAUUUGUAAAAUAUCGGUUAAUUAAUAUUUCAUCUUUUAAGUUGGUGUCUCUUAUUUGAGAUAGUGUAUAGAUAUUUUGAAAGUGUAAAAAGGGUUAAAAACCAAACAACUCGUGAGCUGAAUGAAUAUACAUUGUAAAUGUUCAAAGAUUGAGACAAAGAUAGGGUUUGGACUUAGUGAGCAUCAUGUAAGAGCAGACGACAGAAUCAUCCCAACAAACGACACAUGACAAUGUUUUUUUUAGGAUGAAUGCAUGGAUUACAACCCCCCAAAUAAAUAAAGCAUGCCAAAACAAAGAAAGGGUUGAAAUUUGGUUUGGGUUUUGAUUCCAGAAACCCUAUGCUAACAUCAUUUGUUUUGUCCAUUAUCUUAGCAGCCAAUACCAUCUGUUUCAUCAUGCAUAAAAGUUCAGGCAACAAAACUCAUCCUAUGAAAAAAAAGAUAAACUCACCGGUGGUGGAGAAGAGGAACAAAGCACCAGCAGAGGAAGAAAUAACCAGCAGAGGAACAAAGAACCAGCACCAUCAGAAGAACAAAGAAUCAGUACCAGUAGAGGAUCAAUGAAGCAGCAGAGGAACAAAGAAGCAACGAUGAGAGAAGAGAUGAGAGCAAAGAACCAGUUUGUGUGUAACAGGAUAAAAAAGUAAAAGAGCAGUUUAGAAGCACUUUUUGGCCGGAAAAGCAGCAAAUUUCUGCUUUUUCAUCUAGCCAAAAGUACUUCAGAAAAGUUAGUCUACCGGCCCCAAAUGAACUUUGUUCUUCAUUACUUUUCACCCAAAAGCACUUUUGGGUGUAAAAGUGCUUUUCAACUGGCCAGAAGAACUGGCCCUUAGCCUAUUAUGUCUCCAGCUAAAUGAAGAAACGACCCAGUCUAAGCUGCAAACUGGUUUACUCUACUAUUCAACUUUGACAUACGUGAAAAGUUGAAAAUAAAAGUAUUCAAUCGAAUCAAGUGAAAAAUUUUGAGUUAAUUAAGUUGAUAAGUUUUAUUUUAUUAUCCUAACUCAAUUUGAAUUUUUUUUCAAUUCGAGUCGAGUCGAAUCGAGUAAAAUUAUUCGAGUUAAAAAAUUAAACAUGUCAAAUUAAAAUUUUGUUACAGUAUAACUAAUUUCAUAUUAGAGUACAUAAAUUGAAAGUAUAUAUAUUAUAAACUAUUUCAAAGCAAAAUAAGAGAAAAAAAAGCAAGUUAUUUUAGUAUAAUAAACUUAAAUUGUUAAUUUAUUUAUUUAGGUCCCAAAAUUAUUGUUUUAGAUUUUUUUUUAAAAAAAUAUUAGUUUAUUUAUAUAUUCUUUAGAUUUUUUUUAGAUUUCUUAGUUUUUUUUAAUUCUUAUUAAAAAUAAAUUCUGGAAUUUUUAUAAAUAUUUUGAGUUUUAAAAAUUAUUUUGAUUUUUUUAAUUUUAGUUGUGAGAGAGACUAAUUUACUCAUUUUAAAAAUUAAUAGGGAUCAAAAGGGUAUUUACACCAAUAUGUUAUUUGAGUUAUUCUAAUUAUUCGAGUUACUUGAAUUGUAAAAUUCAACUUAACUCAAACUCGAAACUCAAAUUACUUAUUUGAGUUGACUCGAAAAAUCGAAUUACUCGAUUUGAUUAACUCAAAAUUCGAAGAAAAAAAUUAUUAUUUUUAAGUCAAAUUGAAUUUUCCUCACCCCUAAUCAGAUCCGAAUUUAAGGCAGUGACCCCGUCCCCCGUAAAAUUUGAAAAUUUUAUUUAAAGCUCCUUGAAGUUUUAAUUUUUUUAUUUUGAUAUUAUAAUUAGUGUUUUAAAAAAGAAAACAUUUUUGUCCCCCCAAAGUUUUUCAAAGUUUUUUGUAAUUGGAUUUUAUUUUGUAAACUUUGUCAUUUUUUAAUAAUAAAUUUAGUAACAUUUUUAGUUUAAUUUGGUAGACUAAUACAAAGUAGUACCUUAAUAUUAAUUUGGUAAAAAUAAAGUUUAGUAAUUGCAAUAUCUAAGUAUAAACGGUAUUUAAAUAUAAAUAACGUAGAAAAUAAAGUUAAAUAAUCAUAAUAUCUAAUACAAAUUGAGCAUUUAAUUUAUUUUGCUUUCUCUAAAUUUAAGUAAUUAAGAUUAUCUCAAAUUUAAAAAUAUUUAAAAGUAGGCACAACCCGUAGGGUUGGACCUACUUUGAGCAUAUAUAUCUCGCCUCCCUUAUCAACAAUUCUGGCUUCCCUCUGACCCUAGUAAACUAGUUGCUAGUGACAUGCAUCGUUUGACUUCGUCAAGCCUCUAUUGGCAGAAAAUCCCUUCCUCAAAUCACAAUAAUAAAGCAACAAUUCAUUAAAAAACAAACAACAAUGAAAACCCAACUUAUUUAAUUUUCAAACAACACUUCUUACACAAUAAUUUCAACUUCACUUUCAUCUCGCAACAAAUGGUGGGAUCAUUGAAAAUUGUUGAAAUGGUGGAAUUUGUGAAGAAAUCAUUCAAGGUGAGGACUACUCUUGUAAAUGUCCUCUUAGGUAUAACACAGAGCAUUGUGAGUAUCUUGAAGAUAUUUUGUUUCCUUGAGAUUGAAUGCUUGGCUGAAAGCAAAGUAUGUGAAUGCCUUUUGGACUGAAAAGAAAGUGUUGAUUGUUUACUCCUAGGAAAAAAAAUAGAACAGGUUCAAUUGUCUCCUCUCUUUCCUUAUUUUUUUUCUCAUUUGAUUAUCCUUUUUUUCAUAUUUUUUAUUUUUUUUACUUAUCUUAAAUAGAAAGUCACUACUUUCGUAUGUGCUCUUACAUGUUACAAAAUCCAAAUCCUUGCACAUACCUCUGUGGAUUCAAGUAUGUUUGAAUUCCUCAUUAGGGAAGCAAGUAAUAGGAGUACAAAUGUAUGAUUCAUCUCUCCCUAUCUAGAAUUGAAGUUCAAUUUAGCUUUGUUGAUACAUGAUAUUAAUGAAAGUGUCGAAGGAGGGGAGGGGUGUUGAAGGAGAUCGAUUCACCAAUUCUAGGGUUGAGAGCAAGACAAGUAGAGGGGUGAGGGUCUAACUGGAUCCAAAUUGUAGUAGGGAUAUAACAAUACUCCCCCUAAUUGAGAGGUAGGUUAUAAAGUGACUGUACCUCAAGACCAUUAGUAGGUCGCCCUCAUGGGUAGUGGUUGUUGCAAAUAAAGUAAUAGGUGGUAAGUUGUAAAAAACCUACCCAAACAUUUCAUUUUGUAUUUUAAUGAAGGGUAUAGUUAUUAGCCCGAUGACUUGGGAAUAUUCAGUGCCUUACGAGGCUACUAAAAUUCAUGUAUAAUCUUUUUAAUAAUGUGUUGGCGGAUGGUACUCCAUUUAUUUUUUACUUGUAUAAAUUUUUGCUUAGUGAUUUAGCGGGUGGUAUGCCCAUUGGCUUGAUAAUUUGAAAAUGUAUAACGUAUACUUGAGUGGUGCAAUUGUCAUGUAAAGGAUCCAGAUUUAUACAAUAGAGAUUGUUGCGUGUAUAUUGUGGAUGCAGUUAUUAGAAAUGUAAAAUAGAAGAGGUUUAAUCCAUCCAUUGGCUAUAUAAAAUGCAAGAUGUGCGACUCGGUCGCUGGUAAUAUACAAACCGUAAGAAAAUGCAUACUAUCCGUUGGCGUAAGAAAUGUGUAAUGUCCAUUGGCGAUAUAAAACAUAAGCGGUGCAAAAAUCAUUCAUUGAUGAUAUAAAGUGCAAGAAGUGCAGAUCGUUUAUUGACGAUAUAAAAUGGAAGAAGUGUAAACCAUUCAUUAGUGAUAUAAAAUGUAAGCAAUGUGUAUUGUUCGUUAGAAUAAGGACAUAAGAAAUGUGGACUAUCCGUUUGAAAUGCAUACUCAUUGGUAAUAUAAAACGUAAGAAAUGUGCACUAUCCAUUAUGUAAGAAAUGCAUAAUGUUCGCUAAAAUGUGAGCAAGAGGAUUGUUCAUUGUUAUAAAUAAUGGUAAUAAAUGUAGCUUUUGGCCUUAGUUUUUGACGAGUAUUAUUGAAUAGGUGUUUAUGAGACGAUAAAAAUGGUGGUGCUGCUUCCGCUCGAGGCGAAAGGCUUACAAUAGAUCUUGCUCCUAGACGCAUGAGAGAGAGGUUUAUGGGAAAAAAUCAUACGUCGAUCACAUUACCGUCAGCUCUUGCAGCCCAGAAUUACCUAGAGAUUAAGAUCUUCCCAAGUCGAAUCAAAACCAUUGACCAAGUCUACUUGACUUCAAUUUACGUGGUGAAAGUAGAGUUACAAAUAUAACAUGUAGAAUUUAUAAAUAUGACAUAAAAAUAAAUAGUGAGAUGACUGUCUGCAAGAGUCCUUUUCUAAAAAUAUACAUUAUAAAAGUAUACAUAUAUGAAAGGGGUAUAACCAUCCGCUGGAACCCCUCUCGAGUUCCCUUAAAAAUGAAAUAUAUAAUGUAUAUGAAUAAGAUAGAAAGAAUUACCACUUACCAGCCUUACCAGUCCUGUUCAGGUAUCACCAUUUUUCCAUUUCCCAAGAACAAAACCCAAGCACAAAUGCCAAAGUUAAAGAAAAAGAAUAAAAUUUAUCCACAAAUGAAAAAAGUUAUGACAAUCUACAAGGACAAACUUGAAAACAUCAAUCCAAGGUUUAUUCAGAUUUCUAUGAACUUUUCAUCAAUUUGCUGAAGUAAUUUAAAAUUAAUAAGGAUCACAAAAAAAGUAAUAUUAAUCAAUUGCAAUGAUAGAAUUGAACCCUUCUUUUGCAUAUUUGCAAAAGGUUCAUUAAGAUUAACCGAACACUUGAACUUAAAUAUUUUACCACUGUAUUUAUUAUUCCUGAUGCAUUUGAAUUCAUGAAAAUACUUAAAAUAACUAUUACCAAACCCAUAUUUUAAUUGAUUUAUACCAUCACCCUCAAGGAUGGCAUCAAGUAAAACAUUUUCCACUAACUCUUUUAUAUAGAAAAAUAUAAGUUUUAACUAAUUUCAUUUAAUAUAAACCAAUAUUAUAAUUAGUAACUUAUGUCAUGAGGCUAGAACUUUAGUCUCGCAAUCCGUGUGACCAUAGACGAUUUCUUCACUUUAAAUGCUCCUAAGUCAACCUAGCUCUCAAAAAGUGAGAUUUCACACUGGGAAUUCUCCAAGGCAUCGAAAAUAAAGCAGAAGAAACUUAAAGGAAAAGAAUGAACGAGAGAAUAUAAUAGCCACAAGAAAGCAAAAUCACUUCAAAUGUUUGAGUAAAUGCUUUAAAAGUAUUGUAGUAGGCCAAUUUGCCCAGGCCCAAAAUCACAAAGAAAUAAAAACCAAAAAAUAAUUAAAUGUCCCAAAAUGUCCAGUUACAAACCAAAAAUUAAAAACCCAAAAUUAAGCCUAGCCCAAACCCGAAUCUCCCAAGCCCAGACCUAACCAUCAGCCCAAAUACCCGCAGCCCCAAAAAAAAAUAGAAACCCUAGGCAACAAACUAACAGCCCCGCCGCUCUCCAUGCGCACAGAAGCCCGACUCCUCCUCCCACGAGCCAUUCACCACGCACGUAGCGCCAUCACGAGCCUCCAGCUGGCCUCGUACGGCCUCCCACCCGUAUACCUGCAAGAAGGACACAGCAAACGCAACACAAAAAAAAACAAAAAAAGCAGCGAAUAAAAGAAAAAUAGAUAUUUUUCGUUGUAGUUUUUUGUUUUAUCUUCGGCUAUAAGCCAUUAAAUCAAGAUGGGUAAAAGGGAUAUAGGCACGCAUAUUAUAAAAAAAACCUCAGAUACAGAGAAUACAGAGAUUGUAAAAAAAAUAAUCAAUACAACAAAGAUUUUCUUUCUUUUUUUUUUCCUUUUGGCGAUUCUAUUUUUUUUAACGUUCUUCUCUCUUUUAUUUUUUGUUGUUGUUAUUAAUACAUAUAUAAGCACAUAUAUAUAUAAAAUAAAAGAGAUCGGGGAGGGAGAGUUACCUUGGGGCCGAUCCUGGCUCUCUCUGUCGGCAUCGGAGUAGGGGCUGGGAUCGGAGACGCUCAGAUGCUCCCAAAGCGCAGAACGACGCUGAGAGAGAGUUUUUCUCUCUUUUCUUUAAUUUUUUCUUUUAGGUUAGGAAAAUGUUUAAUAACUUAGGGUUUUAUUUUUUUUAAACCACGAAGGAAACGACGCCGUUUAAUGGCCUGCACCCCGCCCGAUGACCCGAUCCAACUGCGAGUAGAUCCGCGCGUUUUGGUAGGGGGAGGGAUAUUUGCGCAUCAAGUCCUUCUGCUUUUGUAUCGUAGUUCAAUCAAGUUUUUUUGUUACUUUAAUUUUGGUCAUACAAUUUUCUGCUGAUUGCAAUUCGAUCCCUAAUGGAACGCGGCGUUUUGGGAGAGCAGGGAUUAAUUUUCCUUUUGACCCCUCACUGUUAUGCGCGUGUUCAAUGGGGUUCGCAUCUUUGUAUUCAUUUCGAAUUGGCCCUCAAAUUUCCAUUUUGAUUUCAAAAUCAGUCCUUCGGUUAUUUUUUACUGUUAUUAUUAUUAUAAUUAUUUUAAAUUAUGUUUUAAUUUCAGCUUGGUCUUUAAGAACAUAAUUUUAAAAUCGCACUAGUACUUAUUUUAAUAUAUUUAUUUACGGCCUAUUUUAAUACUUAGUUUGACAUUAUUUUUUUAACCUAUUAUUAAUAUAAUUUUAAGAUGUAGUAUGCUGCUAUUUUUUUUUUAAAAUCAUCAUUAACUUGUUUUACAUUUAUCAUGCAUUAUUUUUUAGUCCAUUAUAUACUCUUAUUUUCAAACUUAACAUGUUAUUAUUUGAUUCGUUAUUUAUUAAUAUAUAUAUUUCUAUAAGAAUUUGAUAUAAUUUGUAUAUAUUUUAAUGUUUUGUUUUAGGUUAUAUCUUAAAGUUCAUUUUUGCAUAUCUAUAAGCUAAAUGUUUGCAUAAUAAUUUUUCCUUUUUUAAAUACUAUUAUUCAAUGUUGUUAUUUUUCACCUUAAGUCUAUUUGGAAGCCAUGUCUAUAGUUUAUGGUAAAUUUUUAUAUAGAAUAUAUUAAUUAUAUUGUUUUUGUCUUAGUGUACCUUUCAAAAUAGAUUAUUGGUUUAUUUAGAUUUCGAGUUUUGAUAUUGUUAUUUGUAUAAUGUGAUUAAAAUCAUUGUUGUUAUUCUUAUUUGCAUUUAUCUAUUGCUCAUUCAACUAUCUUGUAUAUCAUAUUUCAACAUUCAAUCAUAUUACAUUUGUUUUAAAAUGGUGUUUCAUUGAAACAUUCAAAUCAUUUUAUUUUCAUAAACCUUCAAAAUGCUCGGUAUCCAAAGUUCUCGAGAGGAUUGUGCCCUAACUUACUAGGCUUCAAUUCUCUUUUUUGAUUUUAAAUAGCCGAAUACCCUUUUUUCAAUUUGAACAUAGAAAUUACAAAAUAAAAACUCAUUCUUGGGAAUUUGAUGCGUUGUGUCCUAACGUAUUGGAUAUGACAUAUUGUUCUCGAGACGAGGAUUUCUCUAACAAAUAAAAAUAAAGGCAAUAUUCGAUAUUUAGGAAUUUUGUGAAAUCGAACCCUAACUUACUGGGUUUUGAUUUUUUUCAUUUGACCCAAGUCGGAUAUCCUUCUCAAAUGCAUAGGUUUUAAAAGUCAAGAGAUAAAUUUAAUUUUGAGGAUUUAAAAUGUCGCACUCUAACUUACUGAGUGUGAUGAUUUAUUUCUUCGAAAUAAGUGAAUCUUAUCGUCCAAUUCAUUUUACUCAAGUUUUCUUUUCAAAGGUUCGUAUUUUAAAAUCUUUUCAAAAUUUUGACAUUAAGACAUUAAACAAUCAAUUCGGUACCAAUUUUGAGUGUCACGAGGGAGCUAACCCUUCUUCGUGCGUAACCGACUCCCGAACCUGUUUUCUCAAAAUUCACAGACCCAAAAUUAUUUUCAAGGAGAUCCGAUCACACCUCAAUAAAAGAUUGGUGGCGACUCCCCAUUUCCAUUUUUAAAAUCGAUACCCAAUUUUCAAAUUCCAAAAAAAAUGGUUUCGACAAGUAUAUUCAGUAAAUUUGAUUGGAAUACAAUAGGAUACUAUGGGAUGUAAUGGGGUUUAAUGGGAUGAUUACAAAAAGGGGAAGAUCCCAAAUCCAACGAUACAAAUUUACUUUAAAUCAACGAUUGAGAUUAAACCAAUCUACAAUUUGAGAUAAUUAAGGGAUUUACAUGAUCCCCUAAGAUUAAAAAUCAAAUCUUCUAAGAUUACAAAUAUUCUAAGAUUAGUUUCCAUAUUUUCAAUGGCAACCCUAGUUUUCCUUAAGUGGUUCACGGAGCCACCAAGGCUACAAGUAAAUGAGCUUCUCCACAUAUUCUAUGAUCUGGGCCAGUUCAAAUGGGCUAAAUAAACGUCAUUUAAUUAGUUGACCUCCAUGGGAAGCUCUUUGUGCAUUACUCACAGGCUUUGAUCCGUAGCCCGUGACAUUCUUCCCUACUCAUUCUCGUAAUGCCCUCUUUCUAUCCUAAGAAUGAUAUUGGUUUGUCUCGUCUUCGAACUAUUCGAUGUCUUGGUCAAUUCCUAACUAGACUCUCUAUUGGUUAGUUCUGCCCCUCGGAAUAUUUGUCUUGGCUUAUGUCUAUGUCGUCACCUAACUUGAACCGUUUCUCUCAUUGGUACAUAUCAUUUGCAAGAGCACACAACUCUUUCUUGCACCCUAUUGUGACUUGCCUCGAUCUAGAUCCCUUUGAUUCGCACAAAAAUGCUUAAGUAUGCUCACAUUAAAAACUGGGUUAACCUUAAGUUGUCCCCAACUCUAAUUUGUAGGCUCCUCAGUUUAUUCGCUUCAGAACUCUUAAAGGGCCCUUGUGUCAUUGCCAAGCUAAUGUUAAGUCAAAAUGUAAAACAUUAGAUAAGUGUUUAAGAUGUACCUCACUCGUCACAUUUACUCAUUUUGACUGCAGUUUGCAUCACCACUUUUCCCCUAAGUUUUGAUGCAUAACCCACAUUUCUCAUAGGUGGUAGCCCCACUAAUAGUUUAAUAGGCUUCAUAUCGAUUUUCACACCUCUAGCAUUUUUAAAGAGGUCUUCGUAGCACUCUGAUCUACCAAGUUGGAGUUUUUACCACAAUGAACAUCCUCAACUAAUUGGAUUACUGACAAUACAUUGGUUACUUUUUUCUUGUCAUGACUCACCGACACCACGCAUUAUCGUUGACGAGUAUCCAAAUACAUUUGUAAUCGACAAAAGGAAUCAAAAGAGCAUUAAUUGGUAAAAGAAAUCCAAACCAAGAACAAAGUCAUAAUCAUCUAAAUGAAUUACCUCGAAACUUUCCUUACUUUUCCACUCGCCGAUUUGUAGGUCAACUCUUUCUACUACUCUCACUAUUAGAACCUCUUUGAAAUUAACCAUCCUGAUCCUCUUAGUCGAUUUGCUAACUGAGAGACCAUGUUUACCAAUGGAUUUCUCCAAUAUAAAUAAGACAGAUGCCUUUGUAUCAAUAAGAGCACUUCUUCAACUUGCGAUGUUGAUGUCCACAAACAUCAAUCCUCUCUAAUUACGACCCUUCUUCGUUUUAGCAUAAUAGAGUAUCAUUGAUCCAAGCUUCAAUAGCUUGUCCUUAUCGAGCUCCGUUUCCUCUUUUUCGUUGGUUGUGGCGGACUUGUAUCACUAUGGGCAAUCUCAUACUCUAUGCGGACCACAACAUAAAAAACAUUGUACCUUGUUCUUCUUUUCUUAAGAGUUGUUGUUGAGUUUCCACUUUCCAUUCUAUGGUUUCCCAUUGCCACCAGUACCGUUGCUAUACUCAACGUGUCAUUUAUCUCUCCUAUCAUUGCCUUUCUCCUUAGGCUUAGGAAACUCGAACUCGUCUUUUCUUGAAACAAGCUUGAUUAAAGACUCUGCCAUGACCAUAGCUUUCGACAAUUCUUGGACCCUCAACAUUCCAAUUCCAGUUUAACCCAUGGCUUCAACCUAUCUAUGAAAUAGAAAAAUGUUUUUUUCUCACUCAAAUCCGUUAUUUGGAGCAUCAGUUCAUUGAAAUCAUUCACAAUCUCUCUAAUUCUGCCUUGUCGCGAGAACCAACACAACUUAUCUCGAGCCUCAUUCUUGGCAUAUUAGGAAUAAAACUGCUUCUUGAAUUCUUUUUGGAACUCUUUCUAAGUCUCAAUUGUGGCCUGGCCAUGCCUUUCAUCUAUAGACUUUCGCUACCACCUUAAAAGAGCAAAAUCAAUAAAAUAUCUAGUAGUAGUAUUUAGCUUAGCAUCAUCAUCUUUGAUGUCCAUGACACGAAAGUAUUGCUCCAUCUCCCAUAAGAAGUUGUCCAUUUCCCUUUUGGACCUUUCUCCCCUCAGACUUCUUUGAUUUGGGACAUCUAACUCGCGAUUUAGUGUUGCAUCUAUCACCCCUUUGCCUACAAUGGCUCUGUACACAACGAGCUCUCCCUCAAGCUCGUCAAUUUUUAUGUUCAAAGCCUUCAUUAUGGUAUUAGUUUCCUCAUUCAAAGCCAUCACCAUGGCCUCGAUAGCAUUGUCCCUCAUUGUUAGCUUAUCCACAGUGGAAUUGAGCACCCCUUUCAUCGCUUCCACAUUGGAACCGAGAGAUUGACCACUCGACUUUCCAAAGCCGAUAGCAUGUCCCUCAAUUAGCUAGAUGUCUUGGCACUCUCACGGGUCCCCAUUGGCUCAACCUACUUGCCUAUUCCUUUCGUAAUCUUGAUCAACGCCUGUGAACCUUAGCUCGUAUGCCAACUUUUACGGGCUAGAGCUUUAAUCUUGCAAUCUGUGCGACCUUAGGCGAUUUCUUCACUUCAAAUGCACCUAAGUCAACCUAGCUUAGAGGUGCUCAUAGGCCGGGCCGGGCUCAAAAUUUUUUUAGCCCGUUUCCUAGGCUCGGGUCGACCCAAAAUAUAGGCCUGAGAUUUUGUCCAGGCUUGGCCCGGGGAAUAAAUAUGAAGCCUGGGCCUGAUCGGCCCUGCCCGUUUUUGUUUCAAUUUCUCAUAAAAAGGAAAUAGAGCCUUUGCUUUUCUUAUGCAAAAAGAAAUAGGGUCUGUAGGAAUAGGUGCUUUUGUAGGAGGAAGUUUAUAAAGUAAAGCAAUGAAAAAUAUUAAUUAUGCCUCCAAACCUUUGGUUUAAACUUUAAGCAAAACAAAAACAAAUCAUAUUACUAUAGUUUAAUAGUUUUGGAUGAAAUAUGAUAAAAAUAAUUAACUUUGUAUAACCCAAUAACCCAAUAAAAUAUGUGGCUAUAUGCUAUGUUGCAAAAUAGUAUAUGUCGCUAUGUAAGACAUUGUUUUCAAGCUAACAACAUUACCAACAAAAAAGGCAUUAGUUGUUCAUUAGUUGAUAAUACUGCAUACUUUCAUGCCUAUAGGCUACUUUCAGUGCAAAAAUACAAAUAGAUUUUGUAGUCUUUCAAAAAAUCAAAGGACUAUAACCUAUAAACCUUGAAAAAAAUCUGUAAACCCAUUUGUAUUCACAUCAUUGGCUAAGGCUUAUAUUUACAGUAAAUAUCAGAGAGAAAAAAUAAAGAAAACUAACUAAAUGUCUAAUGAGAAUUUAACCGAAUAAACUAGGGUUAACACUGUUAAUAUACCUUUGAAUUUUGAAAUAAAGAAAACUAACCUCUGAUUCUGGAAAUGGGUGGAGCCGUGGAGGACCGGAGGUAGAUCGGUGUUGGACCGGAGGUGGAUUGGUGCCAGAGGUGAAGGUUGAGAAAAAAAGGGAGGAGGGCAGUCAGGCAAGGGGUUAGGGAUUUAUGGAAGAAGGGAAAUGGGAAAUGGGGGAAAUGGGUAGAGCCGUGGAGGACCAGACGUGGAUCGGUGCCAGACUGGAGGUGGAUCGGUGCCGGAGGUGAAGGUUGAGAAAAAAAUGAAGGAGGGCAGUCGGGCACUAGGGAUUUCUGGAAGAGGGGAAACGGGGAAAUGGGAAAGAAAUGUUUUAAAAAAUAAAAAUAUAUAUAUUAUUUUUGGCCCGACCCGGGUCAAAAAAUUUUGCUCGAGGCCCAACUCGUUUUCUAAAAGGGCAUUAUUUUUUUUUGCCUAAGCCCAUAUUUGGGGCCUAUAUUUUUACCCGAACCCUCCAAUGUUUUGGGCGGGCCGUCGGGCUGGGCCGGGCUGCCCGGCCCAUGAGCACCUCUAACCUAGCUCUUGAAAAAUGAGAAUUUACAAUGAAAAUUCUCUAAGGCACCGAAAAUAAAACAAAAUCAACUCAAAGACAGGGAAACAACGAGAAAACAAAAUAGCCACAAGAAAGCAAAAGCACGUUAAGUGUUUGAGUAAAAAUUCUAAAAGUAUAUUCGCUAAAUUUGAAUGGAAUACAAUGGGAUACUAUGGGAUGUAAUGUGAUAUGAUGGGAUGAUUACAAAUGAGGGGAAAUGUCUCUAGUUAUAGUUAAGCUCUUCAGAUCCUACAAUACAAUUUACUUUACAUUGAUGGUCGAGAUUAAGCAAUUUACAAUUUGAGAUUCUUAAGGGAUUUACUUAUCCCCUAAGAUUACAAAAUUAAAUCUUCUGUGAUUACAAAUAUUUUAAGAUUAGGUUUUAUAUUUAUCAUGGCAACCCUAAUUUUCAAGUGCUUCACCGAGCCACCAAGACUUUAAGCAAAUGAGUUUCUCCACAUGUUAUACGAAUCAGACCAAUUCUAAUGGGUCAAAUGAAUCUCAUUUAAUCAAUUGACCUCCAUGAGACACUCUUUAUAUAUUAAUCAUGGACUUUAAUACGCCACCUGUCACACAAGUGAUAUUAAUAAGCAUAGAUAGACAUGUUAACUUUGCCUAUCUUGCUGGUUGUUGCAAUACAAUUAUUGAUUCAAUGAAUAUUAAUUAAACUUUUGACUAAAUAUUAAUGAACUUUUAAACCUAUACCGACUAAUUAAACAUAUACCAACUAAUUAAAUUAUGAAUUUUGAUGUUCCAUUUAUUAUUAUAAAUUGGAAAUUUUUAAAGCCUCCAUUAAUAAUGAUAUAUGCAUUGCUCAUUAGGCCAGACUGACUUGUUUAAGUCGGCAUAAGAAGCCUAUAAAUAGGUUUAGUUUGUCUACUUAAAUGCGUGAGUUAAGAAAAAUAGUAAAGAAAGCAAUGAAAAGAGAUUUAAAACUUUCUCAAAGCUUUGGUUUUAUUGCUCCUUUAGGCAUCCAAGUUAAUCUAAUUUUUUUCUUCAAUUAGUCCCUCCCUUGAGCUAUUUUAUACUUGCUGUUCCAAUUGCUUUAACAUAGUGAACUAUGGGCAGGUACUAAAUAGUAAACACCGACAAUUUAACGUUUCUAUGUAUAAGCAAUUUCAAGUUUGCAAUAAAUCAAAUUAUAAAAAUAUUGAAAUUUUCAAAAUACACACCAAGAUAAACCCAAAACAAAUAACUACAAAUACUUUCAUGGAAGCUACGAUAAUAGUUUAUAUAAAGAUAUUGAUUCCUAAUAUAAAAUCUAUUUAAAUAUAAUGAAAUUUUAUUACUAAAAAUUUAAUGAAAUUGAUUUUGAUGAAUAAAAUUAUAGAAUAAAAUCAACAUCUAAUUAAUGCAUAGUAUAUAUCAACAUUGGACACAUCCACAUAUACCAAUGGCUGAUCGUUGCGCGUGUAAUGGAACCACAAACAUAAGAAUUUGAUGCAUAUCCAAAGCUUUAACGGUAAAGAAAUCACCAAAAAUCUAUAAAGGAUCGUUAUUCGUGCAUUCGAUAUCGCAAGCAAGAGAAUUUUCAUGUCAAAAUCUCUAUUCACGUCAAGCAUUUGAUGAGACUAGUAAAUGAGUGAGAUGAUGUCAAUUUCAAAAUUUAUUUCUAUAAUGCAAUUAAGAGAUAAUGGACAUGUCAGAAUUUAUUCUAUGAUGCAAUUGUGGGAGUUAAUCAAUGACAUGGUUUUAUAAGCCAAAAUUAGAGAUAAAGAAAGUCGAGCUAUUUUGAUGAUUGACAACGUUGCAGACCGGAUUCAACAAUGGCAGCAAUAUGUGUUCCACUAGUUGCGAUAUGACGUGUAUUUCCAUUCCAGUUGUCUUCUUUGUUUUUAAAAAUAAAGGAAGCAGCGUGAAGAAGCUUCAUCUCAAUCUCACAUUUCAGUGUCCCCUGUUUUAAACAACAAACAUUGAUACAAAAGCACGGAAGGAUAACCCUCUAACUCACAGUUUCAAACUCUCAAUAUAUGCGUGCCUCAAAAUAUACUAACGUUCCUCCUCCUCGAACCUACAAACCAAUCCAUUGUACCCCCACUAUUUACCGAUUACCGUCAAAAUUAAAACUCAUGCUUAUUCUCAUAUCACACUCAUCCGUCGUUCAUUCGAUCCAUACAAAUUCAUUGUGGGGUGUGUUUCGCAUUUAUCAAAAAAUUUGUAAACAUUUAAGACAACAAUCAUCGAACAGUUGAAGAAGGGUCAAAACAAGCCUGAAGUCGUGACAAACAAGUAGGGUUCGUCGGGACGACGCGAUGAAAACCCCAGACAAAUGAGGCACCGAUGUUGUGAUGAGAAGAACCGACACGUCAUGACGUAACAAUGUGUUUUCCUAUUUGGCAGUCGCAUUUUAGACUUCAAGCAAGACUGCUUCUCCUAGUUGGACUCUGAUUAUCCAAGGGACAUUUUAGUAUGAUUAGAACUUAAUCUAAGUUUAUUUAAAAGGUCAUUGUAUCCCUAUUUUUGUCAGGCCAAUCAAUAAAGACUUUUCUUGACGGCGAGAAGAUGUAGUCACAUAUGAGUUUUGGUGAGAGUUUCGUGGUAACUAUAGAGAGAAUUUUGUUCCCGAGUUAGGACUUUAUUUUCAGGGUUUGAGAUUGUACGCUUAGUACAUUUAAGUUUAUUUUCUCCAUAUUGUACUCGUUUGUUUACUCAUUUAGUGAAAACUCGAUACCUCCUUUGCCUAUGGUUUUACGUUUUUAUAGGGUUUUUCACAUAAAAUAUUUCUGUUCGUUUUUCUCUCUAUUUUCUUAUUUUGUUGUUUAUAUGGGUCGAUCCCCAAAAAAUUGGUAUUAGAGCUAGGUUCAACUUCCACAAAUCGACUUGUUUGGUGACACAACAACGAAUUUGGAUAUCAAGAAAUUUGGCAAGAUCACAAAUUUUAGUUUCUGGCAAUUUUAGAUAAUUACAGGUAGUUUAUGUGGUCGAGCACAAGAGUGAUGAUUCAAUGUUCUUCACAUAUAAUCCGAUUGAAGGUGGAGUCGUGUCAGAUGUCAGACAUGUGUCUGAUUUAGAGAAGAUCAUCUCAUCCCCUUUUGGUCUUUAGGACUCAAAUGGUUCGCAAGAUGUUUGAGGUAAGGUUGGUCGUAGAGGAUUACAUUUAGGUAGGAGAGAGUUGAUGUUUUCUCUCCUAUUCAGGUAUUACUGGCCCUUGUUGCGUUAUACAACUUUGAUUUGAAGACUAGGAGCCUUACAAUUUACAAGUUCAAGCAUUGCUUGAGCUUGUUUGGUAUUCUGCAAAAUUCAAGUUUGACUUGUGAUGGGGCAUGAAAAAGGAGGCGUGAUAAAUAUGAGUUAAGGUGGAGAUUUGUGGGGUGUGUCUCCCAUUUAUCGAAAAAUUUGCAAACAUUUAAGACAACAAUCAAUGAACAGCUUAAGAAGGGUCAAAAAGGGCUUGUUGUGACAAACAGGUAGGGCUCGUCGGGACGACGCGUUGGAAAACCUAGAAAAAUGCGACAUUGAUGUUGUGACGAGGAGAACCGACACGUCAUGACGUCACGACUUGUUCUCCUACUUAGUAGUCGCAUUUUAGACUUCAAGCAGGAUUGCUUCUCCUAGUUGGACUCUGAUUAUUUCAAAAAUAUUUUAAUAUGGUUAGAACUCUAAUCUAAGUCUAUUUAAAGGGGUCAUUGUAUCCCUAUUUUGAUAGGCCAAUCAGUAAGGGUUUUUCUUGAGAGCGACAAGAUGUAGUCGCAUAUGAGUUUUGGUGAGAGCUUCGUGAUAAUUGUGGAGAAAAUUUUGUUCCCGAGUUAGGACUUUAUUUUUGGAGUUUGGGAUUGUAUGUUUAGUAUAUUUAAGUUUAUUUUCUCAAUAUUGUAUUCUCGUUUGUUUACUCAUUUAGUGAAAAAUCGAUACCUUAUUUGCUUGUGAUUUUUCCCACUUUGAGGAUUUUCCAUAUAAAAUAUUUAUAUUCAUUUUUCUCUCUAUUUUCUCAUUUUGUUAUUUAUACGGGUCUAUCCCCAACACCCACUUUACAAAAUCCUACCACUUUAAUUGCUGAAAUAUAUUGCUUGUUACGGUGAAAGGUUAAGAACAAACACGGAUCUUUGAAAAUGAUCUAAAAAUCCAAGUAGAGAAUAUAUAUAUAUAUAAAAGGUGUUUUAAUAGGGUUUAUAGAACACCCGAAUCCGGGUUUUUCAUUGUUUUAAGAGGAGUGAGCGUGUUUUUGAAGAAAAAAAUGGAGUUUUGAAGAAAUGGGUGGCCAAAAUCUCCCAAUUUGAGAUAGUGGUAGAAUAAAAAACAUGGCAAAAUCCCAUGGGAUUUUGGAUGGUGUGGAGCGGAACAACAUGGUUCCAAAAAUGAGUUGUAAUGGUAAUCAGAGGCUUUAAUAGAAACAAAUGGCCGUUCCAAUGUAAGGCAUUAUAUAUAUAUAAUUAAUGGUGAGUUUGGAUGGACGAUUGGGUGCGGUGCGUUUAGUUUACUUUUUGUCUCACGCUACAGUAUCGUUACAGUAUCUAAUCUCACCGCCACCACUAUUUUUACACUAGCCACAAAUAAACGCACUGCUCAUCAAAAUUUACCUUAAGUUAUAAUAAAAUUCCAGGAUAACAAUGGAACCUUUGUCUUUUCUAUUGGAUAUAACGUUUUAGAAGCCGCUGAUGAACGAGUAUAAAAAAGAUUUGAUGGAAAUAUAAACAAAAUGCACAUACAUGAUCAAACAAUCAUAUAUUAAUUUCAAACACCUGGGGAAAAAGGAUAGUCAAAAGUUUUAGGUGAAUAUCAUUAAUAAUAAUAAUAAUUCAAAGUAAACUAAUAAAUGAAUCAAUCCAAAUUAGAAUAAUUACGGUGGUUAGUAGUAUUUGAAUAUUUAUGUAUGAUUAUCUACAUAGAAUCUUUAGGUUUAGUUGGAGCUUGGGCUGGAGGUGGAGGUGGAGAAAGAGGAGGGUUCUGGGGGUGUUCAUCAGAAGGGAAAUGUUGAGGAGGUGGUGGGCAUCCAGGAGGAUAGUAAUCUGGACCUUGACCUGCAGGAGGAUAGUAACCUGGAGGAGGUAGUGGAUGCCCAGAGGCGGCGUAACCUGGGGGAGGUGAUUGCUGUGGGUUGGCAGGGUAAGCAGGCAUAUAUGGUGGUGGAUAUGCAUAACCAUAAGGCGGCUGUUGCUGAUGCCAUUGUCCUUGCUGUUGUGCAGGUGGAUACUGCCCAGGUGGAUAUUGCCCAGGUGGAUAUUGCCCAGGUGGAUAUUGCCCAGGUGGAUACUGCCCAGGUGGAUACUGCCCAGGUGGAAGUAGCGGUUGUUGUACAGGUGGAAGUUGCCCAGGUGGAAGCCCCAGUGGUUGUCUUACUGUUGGAGGCACUGCCUGGUCAAACCGUGACAUCUCUUGCACUGCAGGAACCAUCAUUACACCAGGAGCGCCCCAUGGGAUACUAUGCCUGUGGUCUAGUUCAAGCUUGUGCUGAGUCUGCAUUAAUUUUAUAAUGUAUAGUUAGAUUUGAAUUUUAUUAUAGGGUUUAUCUGGCGGGCAUGGACAUUUUUUUAUGUUCUCAUUAGUGUAGAAAGCUAUUUUACAAGCACUUGGUUAAAUUUAUUCCAUACCUGCAUACAAGCGCAGACUCUGAAAAUCAAAACAAAACAAAACACAAUCAAAACACAAUUGAUUAAAUUUAGAACAAGGCAUUUAAAAGAGUGCGUUUUGAAUAAACGUCUUACGUGCAAUAAACGAGAUCAGAAAUACAAGUAAGGAGCUCUGCGAGAUCCUCAAGGUCCGAAUUCCCAGUAAGACACGCUACCAGACGACAUAUGCAUGCAAUUUCUGCAAGAAUGACCAUAAAUGCCUACAUAACACGUUAACAAACAUAUAUUAGAAUACAAGGCCAAGAGCAAAAAAAAGCCAAGUAAAUCUGAUUAUGGAUAGAUUACAAUGAGGCAGUUGUCACAUUUUGUGGUCUUUAUAUUGUACUCAUCUUGAAUAAGAUAGCGAGUGGAUUGAACUGAACUGGAGAAGCAACAGCUGACCUAAAAUCAAUGGAAAUAGAACCAAACUCACUAAUUAAUAUAUAUUGUUAAAUCCCAAAGACAAGAAAGAAUGAAAGAGAUGGUAAAAGGGUUGCUGUAAAUCUAAACCUCCAUGCAGAGACAGAACGUUGGACAUUUAUUCUCCUGACACUUACCGCUGCACGGCAUGUAACCCGCACAGCAUUGGUACCUAAAAUAGUAAUUAAAAUAGCAAGAGUGGGAGACAAAAUUUAGUUGUAAAUUCUUGUUUGGAGAUGAUAUUAGAGGUAUACAUGUUGAAGGUGUUAAGCCCUUUAUACCUUGACAUUUCGUUGUGGAGUGCUCGCUUCCGCAGGGCAAAUGAAAUGCAAUUGGGACUGCCAUUGAGGAAACAUGGAGAUGGAGUUAUUACUUAAUUAUAGGGAGCUCAACCACGGGACCACUAAAAUUCCAAAUUACUGCUGUUUAUGACACGGAUUAAUUUGGUUCUAAUUUUGAUUCAGUCAUUAAUUGCAUGGCUCUAUGUUUAUUUUUAACCUUAUUCUAAGCAAAUUAAUUAUGUCCUAUCUUGAAGUAAAUAAAUUCAAAAAAAAAAAAUCAUCACAAAUGCUAUUAUAUGAUAAACAAGGUUAAAAGUUUAUGAAU